UUCGCUCAAGCCGCCGCUCGGCCCUACAGCCGGGGAGGGGUGGGGCGAGUCGGGCGCAUGCGUGUGCGGGGGUGGCCGCUGAGGGAGGUGGGGUCGGCCUCGGGGUGGUUGUGCAAGCGGCGGUGACGUCAUCGCGGCUCCGCUCCUCAUAGAACGUCCUAGAAGGGGCAGUGCUGCGUGCUCCUCUGGCGCGGGCUCGAGAAGGGCCUAGAAGAUGACAAAAAAAAACCCAUUUCAGAUGCUGAAUGGCCAAGUUAUCUACAUCUCCACAUUAUCUGGAUUAGAUAUGUCUGGAAUAGUGAAAGGUGCUUCUCGGGCUGAUCUGACUCACCCUUCGGUUGCAUGAUUACUGGAACUGAUGCAAGAGAGGCAAUGGAAAUGGGUACCUGAAGACAGAGAGGUCAGAUGCAUUUCUACAGCUAGAGAUCAGUCUCUGAUUAGAUUAGGCCAACCACAAGGCUGAUGCAGUUAACCAGAAGACAGAGCCUUGCCUCCCUAGGGAAAAUAACCCUUUCAGAUUCUGUUCCACUUCAUCCCUUAUACCAGAGAAGGACAUUGACCUGCUUCACCGUGUAGCUGGCUCACAACAACGUGGGUUACGUGACAACCCGUUUUUCCAGUUAAUGCUCAGCUGGGCCAACUCCCCAGCCUGGCCCUGCACGCAGCAGGCACCUUA
rnacentral:lncRNA from 1 species